rfam:Gossypium arboreum cultivar AKA8401 contig_3349_1, whole genome shotgun sequence.
UUUAAGGCUUUUUUCAAAGCCACUUGCCACCCUUUAAAGUUCACU